UACGGGGGGUGCAAGCGUUGUUCGGAAUUACUGGGCGUAAAGGGCUCGUAGGUGGCCAACUAAGUCAGACGUGAAAUCCCUCGGCUUAACCGGGGAACUGCGUCUGAUACUGGAUGGCUUGAGUUCGGGAGAGGGAUGCGGAAUUCCAGGUGUAGCGGUGAAAUGCGUAGAUAUCUGGAGGAACACCGGUGGCGAAGGCGGCAUCCUGGACCGAUACUGACGCUGAUGAGCGAAAGCCAGGGGAGCAAACGGG
rnacentral:rRNA from 1 species